rfam:Flavobacterium sp. ov086 genome assembly, contig: Ga0070134_113
CCUUAGCCCUGAUAGAAGCGGUAUCCUUUUUCUGGCUUUUUCAGACAGAAAAAGAUACAAGUGGAUAGCAGGAAAUUGC